rnacentral:rRNA from 1 species
AGAGUUUGAUCAUGGCUCAGAGUGAACGCUGGCGGCGUGCUUAACACAUGCAAGUCGAACGAGAACGGGCCUAGCUUGCUAGGCUGUCAGCUAAGUGGCGGACGGGUGAGUAAUGUAUAGUUAAUCUGCCCUUUAGAGAGGAAUAACUACUGGAAACGGUAGCUAAUACCUCAUACUCCUUUUACCUUAAUGGUAAUUGGGAAAUGUUUUUUCGCUAAAGGAUGAGACUAUAUGGUAUCAGGUAGUUGGUGGGGUAAGAGCCUACCAAGCCAAUGACGCCUAGCUGGUCUGAGAGGAUGAUCAGCCACACUGGAACUGAGACACGGUCCAGACUCCUACGGGAGGCAGCAGUGGGGAAUAUUGCACAAUGGAGGAAACUCUGAUGCAGCAACGCCGCGUGGAGGAUGACGCAUUUCGGUGUGUAAACUCCUUUUAUAUGGGAAGAUAAUGACGGUACCAUAUGAAUAAGCACCGGCUAACUCCGU